CUUUACUGUAGCUUGGUAUUGGGUUCGGGCUUUGACUGCGCAGGAUAGGUGGGAGACUAUGAAGCUGCCCUUGUGGGGGCAGUGGAGUCAUCAGUGGGAUACCACUCUGUCAAGGCUAGAAUUCUAACCGUCUGCCGUUAUCCGGCGACGGAACAGUAUCAGGUGGGCAGUUUGACUGGGGCGGUCGCCUCCUAAAUGGUAACGGAGGCGCGCAAAGGUUCCCUCAGGCUGGUUGGAAAUCAGCCGAAGAGUGUAAAGGCAGAAGGGAGCUUGACUGCAAGAGCAACAACUCAAGCAGGGACGAAAGUCGGCCUUAGUGAUCCGACGGCGCUGAGUGGAAGGGCCGUCGCUCAACGGAUAAAAGUUA
rnacentral:rRNA from 1 species